rnacentral:rRNA from 1 species
UACGUAGGUGGCAAGCGUUGUCCGGAAUUAUUGGGCGUAAAGCGCGCGCAGGCGGUCCUUUAAGUCUGAUGUGAAAGCCCACGGCUCAACCGUGGAGGGUCAUUGGAAACUGGGGGACUUGAGUACCGGAGAGGGUCGCGGAAUUCCCGGUGUAGAGGUGAAAUUCGUAGAUAUCGGGAGGAACACCAGUGGCGAAGGCGGCCUUCUGGACAGUGACUGACGCUGAGACGCGAAAGCGUGGGGAGCAAACAGG